rnacentral:misc_RNA from 1 species
UUUCCGUAGGUGAACCUGCGGAAGGAUCAUUAUUGUAUAACCGAGGUGCGAGGACCGUCGCUGACCCGAAAGGUCGUGCACGCCCGAGUGCCCUCACACACAUCCAUCUCACCCCUAUGUGCACCACCGCGUGGGUCCCCCUUUGGCUUGUUCGGAGGGGGGCUUACGUUUUCACACAAACUUUGUAUGCAGUGUAGAAUGUAUUUUUUGUUUUUGCGAUCACGCAAUCAAUACAACUUUCAACAACGGAUCUCUUGGCUCUC